AGGCGGAAUUUGGGAGGGAAUGCAAAUGGAGAAGGUUUGCGAUUGGCGGUGAUGAACGAGGGUGGGACUGUUGCGCGACCUUCCGGGCAGAAAAGGCUUAAACACCUCGCUUUUGUAGAGGCGCUAGCAUCUGCAGCCCACCAACCCUGCUGACCACCAGCCCUGCUGACCACCGAUCUUGGCUUCUUCCAUCUCAGUACUUCUCCUUCAGACUGGAGAAUGUUCUGGACUCAGACACAGGAAGAAAAGAUCAGAGAGCCCGGAGAAAAGACAUCUGAAUUCUGAUCUCAGUUUGACCAAUGUGUGGUCUUGGGCAAGCUUACAAACAGCAGUGUGCGCUGUAAAACAGAGCCGUUUACUCUUUAGUAAAAGGCGAAAGAUUUUAGAGCCGUUUACUCUUGGCGCUCCCUCAGGAACCAGGAGAUAAUGAGAGAUUUGUAUAUGGCAACAAAGAUUCAGAAAGUUGACAAAGCUUCAAGGUUCAAGGUUAUGGGAAGACAAACCACUAAAGGAACUGGGAGUGGACAGAUAAUCCCCGCCCAUCCUUGGACAUUACUGUGACACACUGUGUUGAUCUUUAUUCUCACAUUGAUCAUAUGUGGCAAAACUAUCAUCAUCGUCGUCAUCGUCCCCAUCUUAAAGAAAAGAAAAAGAGAGGUUCAGAGACAUUAAAGAAAAAGAGAGGUUCAGAGACAUUAAAGAAAAAGAGAGGUUCAGAGACAUUAAAGAAAAAGAGAGGUUCAG
ensembl:processed_transcript Gm13783 predicted gene 13783